rfam:Myotis brandtii contig250762, whole genome shotgun sequence.
CAUGCACCGGUGGGGUCCCUCAGCCUGGCCUGCGCCCUUUCGCAAUCUGGGACCCCUCAGAGGACAUUGGAGAGCCGGUUUUGGCCUAAUCCCGCAGGCCAGGCUGAGGGACCCCACUGGUGCACG